UUGUGACGAGAGCCUCGAGCGUAAAAAGCUCGCGGCGAGUCUGAGCUCGAUAUUGAUCGCUCCUCUGCGCAAGCCCGUUCGCACCACGAGCUCGAGCACCGAGAGCUCUGCAGGCUUAUGAAAAGUGAGAUUCAGUCGUGUCCGCGAAAACCGUGAUCGCGCGCGAGUGACCGAAAAAAGUGUUCCCUUCCUCCGAGUGUUUGCGUCCGUUUGAUCGAGUAAAAAGAGUGUUGAAAAAUAAUUGCUACGAACUUUCGCUCGUCACGUUGAUUUAGGACGCGGAUUUUUCUUCGCGAUGAUCGAGCGUUCGGACGAGCCGAACGUACCUUACCCGAGGACGGCGUUUCGCGAUUUUCGAAGAUUCGAAGCUCAGAGCUCGAUGCUUCAUUCGAAUAACGAAAAUUCACGAUAGUAUUUUAAAUAAUCGUCGUCGUGAAUAGAACGCGAUAUUGAGAUUAUUCGACAAUCUGUAAGGAAAGACAAAAGCAAAACAGACACAAACAUGAAUAGCUUGUUCCGAUCGUACGUUCGCUCGUCAAUCAUUAGAGCGCCUUUUCUCCUCGUCCAUCGAUUAUACUCAGCAUCUCAAAGGCCACGUAUGUCCGACAACAAUCCUGAGAUGAGAGCAACCGCUGCACGUAUCUGUCGCGACUAUCUCUACGGCGUAUGGAAACACGUUACGUCCGAUAACAUUGUACUGAAGCGCAUAAGUGGUGGCUUGAGCAACUGGGUCUACGAUGUUCAAUUACCAGAGGAUACGGCGCCAGUUCGUGGAGAGCCGCGUCAAGUGUUGCUGCGAAUAUACGGGCAAGUUCACGGGGAGCGAGCCGUGGAAGGACUAAUUACAGAAUCAGUUAUUUUCACUCUGCUUUCGGAGCGGGGUCUGGGCCCGAAGUUGCACGGGGUCUUUCCUGGGGGAAGAAUUGAAGAAUACAUUCCGGCGAGACCCUUGCUCACCAAAGAAUUGGCCGAUCCGGAGUUGAGUGCUUUGGCAGCAGAAAAAAUGGCCCAAAUCCACAUGAUGCAGGUGCCGAUAAGCAAAGAGCCGACUUGGUUCUGGGACACGGUCACCAGGUGGCUCGAUACUGCGACAACGAUACUUAAAAACUCGGAAAACAUUGACGUUAAACAAAUGGACAAUAUCAAUAUUAUUAAAUCGAUUAAAUUCUCACAGGAACUCGUAUGGCUGAGGUCUCUUGUGAAACAACAGAAGUAUCCAGUAGUAUUCUGCCACAACGAUAUGCAAGAGGGAAAUAUCCUGUUGCGACAAAAUUCACGAAAGCGGGAGCUCGUAGUGAUCGACUUCGAGUAUUGUUCGUACAACUACCGUGGCUUCGAUUUGGCGAAUCAUUUUAUCGAGUGGCAGUACGAUUACACAGCGGCGGAGUAUCCGUUCUUCCACGAGCGUGCGGGGGCAGGACCAACCGACGAACAAAAGGACCGGAAACACACUGAGAGACGAUGCGCGCCUCCUUAACGUGAAGGCGAGGGCAAUAUGUUGAAAACUCUGCCCGUGCGUCUGUGCCCGAAUCAACGAUAUUGAUAUCCUGCGCAGUUGAGACUUGCCGUGAUGAUCUCGAACAUUUGGAUCACUGCUUCCGAGACUCGGGGGUCAAUUAUCAUCGUGUGAUGGGGACGAGACCAGAGAGUCCUCCUCGGCGAUCUACGCCUCUACAACACUAGACUCCACUUCAUAAGAAAUUAUCUGAGGACACUUGGAAAAGAGAGCACCGUCGAGGAAGAACGAUUGUUAGAGGAGAUCAAAGUAUUCUCGUUGGCCAGCCAUCUCUUCUGGGCUCUCUGGAGUAUUGCAAACACC
rnacentral:misc_RNA from 1 species